UCUUUUAAUUUGGAAAGCCUAGGAGCCCCUGCUCUUUGGUUCUGUCUCAUCAUCUAAGUUACUUCUAAUUUUAUGCCAGUGAGGAUGGAGGGAAACUUUUUCAGUGACAAAAGUUCAGGAUUUUUUUUUUAACUAACAAGUGUCCCAGGAGGUAGUUUUCUUGAAGAUCAAUUUAAUUCUCCCUACCACCUACCCCCCAGAUCUACCACAUCUCUCCCACUUGUUGAUGGCUUAGAAGAAAGAAAAGGCCCUGACAUCUUUUUCCAAGAAAUCAAGGGUUCCAUAGGUCAGACAAGCCCCUUUUCAUUUCUUAGAAAUCUUACUCAGCCUUCGUACCUGGGAGUAAGUAUGGUUCUCAGUGCUUGUAAUGCAGUUUUGAAUGGAUGACAGCUUUCUUGAGAUACCAGAAAAUGUAUCCAUGAAGCAGAUGGCUCCAUUGCAUCUAGUAUAUUGCCAUCCCCAGGAAAGGUUUCUGUCACUUGAUUUUCAGGAGGAAUCAAGGAGAAGUAGCAAGAGAAAUCUAUACCCUUGGAAGAGGAAUAUUUCUACUAAGGCAACUCUUUAAGGAAAAUGUCAGAGUGGGCUCUAAUCCAAUUAAUAUCUCCUGAUCUGUAUGAAGAAGAAUUGGUCAAAACAGAUUAAACAUUUGCUUGGAUUCUUUCAAGACCGAUUAAACAUGACCUAGUAAAACUAGUAAAAAAGAAGAUGAAGUAUUCCGUUUCCAUUUUUUAAAAAAAUGUAUUAAGCAUGGCCUAAAUAUUCAAUGUGUGUUCUGUCUCGUAUGUUUGAUCUGACAACUUUUUGAUGUGCUUCAAACUUCAGAACAUCUCCAUCUCGAUUGGAGUCAUUCCAUACUUAUUUUUUUUUAUUUUUUGGUUCAACAUAGGACUGUGACAUUCUGAGAUUGAAAUUCAAUUUUGCUAACGGGGGAAUUAAAACCAUGUAAAUAUUGUAAGAAUGUUUAUUUGUUGCACAUAACUUUUUUGGUAUAAAAAUAAACGUAGAAAUUAUCUGUG